CCUACGGGCGACAGCAGUGGGGAAUAUUGCGCAAUGGGCGAAAGCCUGACGCAGCGACGCCGCGUGAGGGAUGAAGGUCUUCGGAUCGUAAACCUCUGUCAGCAGGGAAGAACGGUCACUGUGCUAAUCAGCAGUGAAUUGACGGUACCUGCAAAGGAAGCACCGGCUAACUCCGUGCCAGCAGCCGCGGUAAUACGGAGGGUGCGAGCGUUAAUCGGAAUUACUGGGCGUAAAGCGCUCGUAGGCGGUAUGUCAAGUCAAGGGUGAAAUCCCCGCGCUCAACGUGGGAACUGCCUUUGAAACUGGCAGACUGGAGUGUGUGAGAGGAUAGUGGAAUUCCAGGUGUAGGAGUGAAAUCCGUAGAUAUCUGGAGGAACAUCAGUGGCGAAGGCGACUAUCUGGCACAUAACUGACGCUGAGGAGCGAAAGCGUGGGUAGCAAACAGGAUUAGAUACCCUAGUAGUC
rnacentral:rRNA from 1 species